UACGAAGGGGGCUAGCGUUGCUCGGAAUCACUGGGCGUAAAGCGCACGUAGGCGGAUUUGUAAGUCAGGGGUGAAAUCCCGGGGCUCAACCUCGGAACUGCCUUUGAUACUGCAAAUCUCGAGUCCGGAAGAGGUGAGUGGAAUUCCUAGUGUAGAGGUGAAAUUCGUAGAUAUUAGGAAGAACAACCAGUGGCGAAGGCGGCUCACUGGUCCGGUACUGACGCUGAGGUGCGAAAGCCAGGGGAGCAAGCGGG
rnacentral:rRNA from 1 species